AUUGAACGCUGGCGGCAUGCUUUACACAUGCAAGUCGAACGGUAACAGGGAGCUUGCUCCGCUGACGAGUGGCGAACGGGUGAGUAAUGCAUCGGAACGUACCCAGUCGUGGGGGGAUAACGUAGCGAAAGUUACGCUAAUACCGCAUAUUCUGUGAGCAGGAAAGCAGGGGAUCGCAAGACCUUGCGCUGAUUGAGCGGCCGAUAUCAGAUUAGCUAGUUGGUGAGGUAAAGGCUCACCAAGGCGACGAUCUGUAGCGGGUCUGAGAGGAUGAUCCGCCACACUGGAACUGAGACACGGUCCAGACUCCUACGGGAGGCAGCAGUGGGGAAUUUUGGACAAUGGGGGCAACCCUGAUCCAGCCAUGCCGCGUGAGUGAAGAAGGCCUCGGUUGGUUAAAGACUCUUUCGGUCCGGGAACGGAAA
rnacentral:rRNA from 1 species